UACGGAGGGUCACAGCGUUGUCCGGAAUCAUUGGGUUUAAAGGGUCCGUAGGCGGUUUUGUAAGUCAGUGGUGAAAGCCCAUCGCUCAACGGUGGAACGGCCAUUGAUACUGCAAGACUUGAAUUAUUGGGAAGCAACUAGAAUAUGUAGUGUAGCGGUGAAAUGCUUAGAGAUUACAUGGAAUACCAAUUGCGAAGGCAGGUUGCUACCAAUACAUUGACGCUGAUGGACGAAAGCGUGGGGAGCGAACAGG
rnacentral:rRNA from 1 species